rnacentral:rRNA from 1 species
AUACGGAGGGUCCGAGCGUUAUCCGGAAUCAUUGGGUUUAAAGGGUCCGUAGGCGGGAAUCUAAGUCAGUGGUGAAAUCUUGCAGCUCAACUGUAAAAUUGCCAUUGAUACUGGAUUUCUUGAAUUAGUGUGAAGUGGUUAGAAUGUGUAGUGUAGCGGUGAAAUGCAUAGAUAUUACACAGAAUACCAAUUGCGAAGGCAGAUCACUAACACUAUAUUGACGCUGAGGGACGAAAGCGUGGGGAGCGAACAGAAUUAGAAACCCGUGUAGUCC